CGGCAAAAGGGUGAGGAAUACGUGGGUAAUCUACCUUCGGGACCGGGAUAACACUCCGAAAGGAGUGCUAAUACCGGGUAAGACCACGGCUCCGCAUGGAGCUGAGGUAAAAGAUGGGGACCGCAAGGCCUAUCGUCUGAAGAGGAGCCCAUGUCCUAUCAGCUAGUUGGCGGGGUAACGGCCCACCAAGGCUUUUGACGGGUAGCUGGUCUGAGAGGAUGGUCAGCCACACUGGGACUGAGACACUGCCCAGACUCCUACGGGAGGCUGCAGUCGAGAAUCUUUCGCAAUGGGCGAAAGCCUGACGAUGCGACGCCGCGUGAGGGAUGAAGGUCUUCGGAUCGUAAACCUCUGUCACACGGGAAGAACGUCCUAUGGGUUAAUAACCCUGUGGGCUGACUGUACUGUGAGAGGAAGCCACGGCUAACUCCGUGCCAGCAGCCGCGGUAAUACGGAGGUGGCAAACGUUGUUCGGAUUUAUUGGGUGUAAAGGGUAUGUAGGCGGGCUUGUAAGUCGGAUGUGAAAUACUUUGGCUUAACCAAAGAACUGCAUUCGAAACUGCUUGUCUUGAGUUUGGGAGAGGAGAGUGGAAUUCUCGGUGUAAGGGUGAAAUCUGUAGAUAUCGAGAGGAACAUCUAGUGGCGAAAGCGACUCUCUGGACUAAAACUGACGCUGAAAUACGAAAGCUAGGGGAGCAAACAGGAUUAGAUACCUCUGGUAGUCCUAGCCGUAAACGAUGAUCACUUGGUGUGGGGUCCUUAGGGCUCCAUGCCGAAGUUAACACAUUAAGUGAUCCACCUGGGGACUACGGCCGCAAGGUUGAAACUCAAAGAAAUUGACGGGGACCCGCACAAGCGGUGGAGCAUGUGGUUUAAUACG
rnacentral:rRNA from 1 species